AUACCCCGGCUCGUUUUUCAAUGCUGAGUUCCCCUGUGGCCAAAUCAGAGCCAAAAUUCCGGCCAAACGGCCGAAAAAUACGGCUGAAACCCAACGGCGCCGCCGCGCCCCUCCUCGAUUUUUGCCUCCGAUGAAGCCCUUCCCGGCCUCCGUUUGAUACAAUUUUUAUAUCACCAUGAUCACCAUUCCUUUCUCUACAGGUUGAUCGGAGCCAAAUCACCAAAACAUGAACCUCAUCGGAGAGCCGCCGCACCCGAGAGCACCGCCGUCGGUAAGCUUCGGUUUUUCGUAAUUUUUUGGCCCUCCGAGGGCCCUAGGGUUGUUUUAUCGCAGGGACCGAUGCGAGUGUGGCCGAAUUCAGCCGAAAACAGCCAACCCGAGGUGAAUCGCCGCCGCUUGCAUCGGAGCACGGCGGAGCCGCCGUGCCGGAAUUGCGAUAUCGGUCGAAAGGGGCCCUGGGUCUAAUUUAGGAUUUUUUGGGACACGUACAGGCACCAGUAGUGCGUUUCAGUUCUCCGGGAAAAAAAUUCAGGAAAAAUUAGGUACAGCCUGCAGGCGCACUGUAGAGCCGUAUUCGGACCCCGAAACAAGUAAGGACCCCUCACCCUAUUUCCUAUUACGGUAUUAAAGUUAAAAAAUGAUAAAACGGUAUUUCAUGAAUCAAUAGAUUUGUGAAAUUGUUUAAGGUCGCUAAUGGAGCCCGAGUCUGGUGUAUUUGUCGGUCAAUUGUUGUUUGCCUAUUUUACAGUUUUUAAAUGCAGUAUGAGGUCUGAUGUUUUCAUUUCAUAGUUUCGUGUGCAUAUAUCACUAUUUUAUUGAUUAUGGGUUGAAUGACUGAGAACCCGAUGUUGUAUGUUGUCUUGUUU
rnacentral:lncRNA from 1 species